rnacentral:lncRNA from 1 species
UUUUUUUUUUUUUUUUUUCUUUGUGUAUUUUUCUUAUAUGUGCUUCCAGAAAGAUGCUUCUGUUAAGGCAAAGUAAGCUGAAUAGUCUAGCAAAUAUUCAAGUUACUAAUGUAUGUUGGGCAGAGUUGAAUUGUUAGUUCCAGCUGCAGCCUCAGAACAUGGGAAGUUGUCCCCAGAAUAAAGGCUCUUGCAGUAGAUUCUUUGCCAUGAUCCUUGUCAGCCACCUCUUAAUACUACAUUCUACUUCUAGUAUCUUGAACCAUGCUUAAACCCAGGAGCCACUGGUUUAAUGUUUUCUGUCUCUGCUAUUAGAUUUAGCUGUCUUUGCCUUCUGCCAUGUAUUGAAUCCUUCCUUGUGGUUAGUUUUCUGUGGUCACAGGAGGUCUAAAGAAGAAGUUAUGUUUAAGGAAGAGUGACUCAUCCUGAUCCUUUAGCAAAACUGGACAACAGAUCAUACCUAAUGUUUAAAGAAUAUGCAUGUGCUUGGCAGUUUCUGCUGAGAGAAUUAGCGAGUGAAAGGCUCGGAUGUGUUUGGUCAGGGUCUAAACAUUGGACUGGGUCACUGACACUUAAAAGACUACUUAAAAAAAAAAAAGACUGCAGACCACAGUGAUGUAAUGCAAAGCGAUAGAGUAGGAGUGUUAGGGGCCGGUCCUCCACCCCCUGAGCUGGAAGGCGUGGUUGGCAUCACCUGUUCUGAAUGCCAGAGCCUGAUUAGAUGCGUGGUGUAAUGCAGAGGCGGGCUGCUGUCUUUCUUCAGCCAGCAGUGCGUUCACAGGUACACAGUUGUAGCUCUCAGCAGUCAUCAGAUGUCCAUUUCUCAACAACAAAAUUUAGGAGUUCCCUGGUGGUUCAGUGGGUUAAGGAUCCAGCCUUGUCACUGCUAUGGCUGGUUGCUCCUGUGGUGCAGGUUCAAUCCCUGGCCAGUUAGGCAUGCCAUGAGUGCAGCUAACAAAAUGACAGAACAUACAAAGAAACAGGAAUGUGAAGCCCAUUCACAGGACAAAAAGAAUUUGACAGAAAGCACCCAGAGGAAGUGCCGACAUUGGGAUUACUAGUCAGAGAUAUUCAAUGCACUGUCUUCAGUGUGCUCAAGAAGACAGAGGAAACCAUGGGCAAAGAAGUGAAAGAAAUGGAGAUACAGUGUCUGAACAAAAUAAGGGUAUCAAGAAAGAAUGAUGAUAACAAGGAACCAGAACAUUCUGGAACAGAAAAGUACAGUGUUGAUAGACAGGUAUAACAGCAGAUGAGAGCAGGCAGAAGAGUGAAAUCAGCAAGUUGAAAGUUAAGAGUUGAAAUUAUUUGGUGUGAGGAACAGAAAGAGAAGGGAGUGGAGAGAUGGACAUAGCCUGAGUGUAAAUGGAUUAGACUCUCCUGUUAGAGCUUGGACUAGUGAGGGCAACCAGAGGCAGCCGGGGUACCUCCAGCCAAGGACCAGGGCUCAUAGAAUAGUCCUGUGAGCAGAGGGUCUGUUGUCAGAACUUAUGGCUUCCAGGCCCUCACAGAGGGUGUUUAAGUGGAGAUGCAGAGCACCAUGCUUGGGUGUGUGUGUGGGUGGGGUCCUGGAAGUGUCCUAUUUCUGUCCUAUGUGUGCCCAACACCAUCGGAUGCUGCCCAGAUGCCGCUCUCCAUUUCCUGUGGUCAGACUUAGGCAUCAGGGCCCAGCUAGACUUCUCUUCCUUUAAACAGCUCAGGUGAGCAGGCACUGUGCUGUUUGUCCACCUUUGUCCCUGUGCACAGGUGAUUACUCUAGCAGGUCCCUGUCUCACUUCCCCGCUGGACUGUGAGCUCUCCAGGCGGGAUCUAUGCCUGAUUCGUCCCGGGAGCCCAGUGGCGCUCGGCCAAGUACCUGGUGUGCAGGCUCCCUGGGAGAAAACCAUACAUGUAGUGUAUCUGUGGAAAACAGUGGUCAUUGUGAGUCAAGUGCAAGGUGGGGUGGUGGUGAAGUUCUCCAGGGGUUUAGAAAGCCCAGUAAGAAACCCAGACUUGCCCUAGAGGGGAUGAGGGCUGUGGAUGUAUUUCAAGAAGAGUAGCACUGAUUGAUCAUAAAUCAGCUUGCUUAGGGUAAAAAAACCCAAAAAACAAAAAACUGGGUUGCUAAGGGGUGCAGUUAAGACCCCUCCACCCUAUCCCAGUCCUCUUGCUUCCCUGGCGCUGCUCCCAUGUGGAGAAGCCUCUACCUGGUCAGAUGUGGACCUGGGCAGGCUCACUGCAUUGAAAGGCUAUGCGCACAGGGGCACGGGCCUCACUCACACUUUCCAGGAGCCCCUGCAAACACUCUGGAUGGACACCUGAAACACAGAUGCACCACCGAAAGUGGAAAUACCGUGUCCUUAGGAUUCUGGAACUUACUCUUUAUUUUUCUUUAUUUCUCUCUGUUUUGGCCUUCCUGAGGCAUAUGGAGUUCCCAGACCAGGGAUCAGAUCUGAGCCACAGCUUCAACCUACACUGCAACUGUGGCAAUGCCAGAUCUUUUUAUUUUAUUUUUUUUGUCUUUUUGCUAUUUCUUGGGCUGCUCAUGCGGCAUAUGGAGGUUCCCAGGCUAGGGGUCGAAUCAGAGCUGUAGCCGCCAGCCUACAGCAGAGCCACAGCAAUGUGGGAUCCGAGCCACGUCUGCAACCUACGCAACAGCUCAUGGCAGCGCCGAAUGCCGGAUCUUUUAACCCACUAUGCUAGGGCAGGGAUUGAACCUGUGUCUUGGUGCUGCAGAGAUACCGUUCAUCCCAUUGCACCACAGUGGGAACUCUAUUUUUUAAUUUUUUUAAUUUUUUUGAGUGGCCCAAGAAAUAUGGCAAAAAGACCAAAAAAACCCUUCCCCUCCCCCACAUAGAAGAAGAGCAGUUGGGGGAGGUGCCCCGGGAAAGACGUCCAGUCUCUGAAGUUGCACCAGGUGGGGCCCAAGAGCCGGACCUGCAGCCAGGGCGGCCUCUCCUCUUGUCCCCUGCUCACCAGGCUGCUGGAUAUGAUGCGUCUGAAGGCCUGGCAGGUGCCAGACAUCCUCCUGCUUUGAAUUCCGUGCAGAGAACACCCCCCUCGUCCACUGGGCCAAGUCCCCUUGCCCAGGCUUCCCUGCAUACACGGCGUGACCUUCCUGCACUGCUCCUGCCCACAGCCGUGGUGUCCAGCCCUGGCCCACCUCCUGCACUGCGGCCAGACUCCGGGCUCAGCAUCCUCCUGCUUUGCACUCAAUGCAGGGAGUGUGGCCUGGCCUUCCUUGCCAUUCAACAAGGACCACACGGGGCUCACUUGAUUGUGACACUUCUUGCUGAGCAGCCUGAAGCACAGAUGCUUUCAGAUAAAGUUGGGGGAUUUCCCACACCCCCUGAGGACCAGGCUGGGAUCCUACCAGCAGGUCGACCCUCUGGUUUUUGUGAGGCUCCCUUGUUGCUGCUGGUGCUGUGGUUGGAGGGGAGGCCCCAGGGGGCUGGAGGCAGUGGUCCUCGCCUCUGGGCUGGGUGGGAGCCUGGCAGGUCUUUGGCCUUCUUCCCUGACUCCUGGUCCUCCUCUGGCCGAGAGCUGCAUGGGGAUCAGAGGCUUCUCUGCCCAUGAGCCCUGUGCCGAGGCCCAAGCCUGCAGUUUCACACUCAUUUUGUCCUCAGAAGGUUUCCUGGCUCUGAAUCUCCGAUUCAGUCCCCUCCUGGUGGCGAAGCUGCAGGGCUAAGACUAGCAGCAGAUGUGCCCCAGGCCUCUGUCUGUGGCCGUGGUCCUGUCCAUGGUCCAUCGGGUCUCUUCCAGCCAGUUGCUUGGGAGAAUUUUAUGAUGUUUGGUGAUAUAAAACCGCCCUGCACCCCUACUGUGCUGCCUGAUGAUAUUAACUAACACUGCUAACUACACUUACAGACAGCACCAAACAGCAGUGCUAAUACUAAUGAUACUAACAGUGCUAAAUAACUAUGCUAACAAUACUAACUAUGCUAACUCAUACUAACUACAAUUACUACCAUUGCUAACUGUGCUUAUUAGCUACCUUGUUUUAUUGCAGUUGCUUUUUUGAGCUUUAAAAGUAACAUGCAUUUGGAGUUCCCACUGUGACAAAGUGGGUUAAGAAUCCAGCUGCAGUGGCUUGGGUCUGCAGAGGCUCGGGUUCAAUCCCCAACCCUACUCUGUGGGUUAAAGGUUCGGCCUAGGCCAUAGCUGUGACUCAGAUUCAGUCCCUGGCCUGGAACUUCCAUAUGC